rnacentral:lncRNA from 1 species
GAUCAUAUCUUAGUAGUUUCUAAAAUUUGGUUUCUUCAAAUAUGAUUUUGAGGACUGUUUUUCAAAUAUGGAUUCCAUAUAGCAUGAUUUUCUUUGUAACUAUAGAGAUUCUAAUAAACAAUUCAGAAACCUUGGGCCUUGAAGUGGUAAGGUGAAGGUGGACUGCUGCGGAUCCUUUUAAGAGUUAAAUGUACAGUGAAUAUGUAUCUGGAAAAGUUUGUCUAUCAGGGGGAAGUUCAUACUGCAUACCUCUGGAAGGUUCUGCAUAAUCUUGAAGCAUUAUUUUAGUAUGUCUUUUGUUGCUUUAAAAUAUAGUCCUAAUUGGAAGAGACCUAGAAUUCAUUUGAGGUUUGUUUGAACUUCUGAUACUGUUGUCUUAACUUGUCUAUUUAUGUGGUAUAGAUUUUAGAUAUUAUUCUCAUGUCACACCUUUGUUAACAGAUGAAUUUUGCUGUCUAUUCUCUAGCUUUUGUUUGACAUCACCCUGCA